GACGAACGCUGGCGGCGUGCCUAAUACAUGCAAGUUGAGCGCUGAAGGUUGGUACUUGUACCGACUGGAUGAGCAGCGAACGGGUGAGUAACGCGUGGGGAAUCUGCCUUUGAGCGGGGGACAACAUUUGGAAACGAAUGCUAAUACCGCAUAAAAACUUUAAACACAAGUUUUAAGUUUGAAAGAUGCAAUUGCAUCACUCAAAGAUGAUCCCGCGUUGUAUUAGCUAGUUGGUGAGGUAAAGGCUCACCAAGGCGAUGAUACAUAGCCGACCUGAGAGGGUGAUCGGCCACAUCGGGACUGAGACACGGCCCAAACCCCUACGGGAGGCAGCAGUAGGGAAUCUUCGGCCAUGGCCGAAAGUCUGACCGAGCAACGCCGCGGGAGUGAAGAAGGGUCUCGGGUCGUAAAACUCUGUUGGUAGAGAAGAACGUUGGUGAGAGUGGAAAGCGCAUCAAGUGACGGUAACUACCCAGAAAGGGACGGCUAACUACGUG
rnacentral:rRNA from 1 species